AUUUUCAGCAAUGGAUGUCUUGGCUCGCGCAACGAUGAAGGACGCAGCGAACUGCGAAACGCAAUGUGAAUUGCAGAAUUCAGUGAAUCAUCAGAUUUCUGAACGCAA
rnacentral:rRNA from 1 species